CCGAGUUUACAACUCCCAAACCCAAUGUGAACCAUACCAAACUGUUGCCUCGGCGGGUCACGCCCCGGGUGCGUCGCAGCCCCGGAACCAGGCGCCCGCCGGAGGGACCAACCAAACUCUUUCUGUAGUCCCCUCGCGGACGUUAUUUCUUACAGCUCUGAGCAAAAAUUCAAAUGAAUC
rnacentral:misc_RNA from 1 species